UGGGGAAUUUUGGACAAUGGGGGCAACCCUGAUCCAGCCAUGCCGCGUGGGUGAAGAAGGCCCUAGGGUUGUAAAGCCCUUUCGGCGGGGACGAUGAUGACGGUACCCGCAGAAGAAGCCCCGGCUAACUUCGUGCCAGCAGCCGCGGUAAUACGCAGGGGGCUAGCGUUGCUCGGAAUUACUGGGCGUAAAGGGCGCGUAGGCUGUCGGGUCCGUCGGGGGUGAAACCCCCGGGCGCAACCUCGGAAC
rnacentral:rRNA from 1 species